rnacentral:rRNA from 1 species
UACGGCGGGGGCGAGCGUUAUUCGGAAUUAUUGGGCGUAAAGGGCGCGUAGGCGGCUGUACAAGUCAGAGGUGAAAUCCCUCGGCUCAACUGAGGAACUGCCUUUGAAACUGUACGGCUUGAGGCCGGGAGGGGGUAGCGGAAUUCCCAGUGUAGCGGUGAAAUGCGUAGAUAUCAAGUGGAACACCAGUGGCGAAGGCGAGUCUCUGGACAUUUCCUGACGCUGAGGCACGAAAGCCAGGGGAGCAAACGGG